UAACACCUUGAAAGUUUAUAGCUCUAGAAAUUUUAGGUCUAGUCAAGUUUUUAUGCAAGUAAAUUAGCGAUGCCUAAAAGCUAAUUUGGAUCUAUAUGAAUAUCUUUAAAGUUGAGGAAACAAAGUGGAAACAAAUAUAAAUUUAUACUUUUAUUUAAUUAUGUCAAAAUGGUUAACUAUUGGUGGAGUUGAUUUUCCUAUCAAUAUUAGGCUCUUUUCGAACUUCAAAUUAAAUGAUGAAUUAUAAGCCAGUGAUAAUAACUACUUAGUAAAUAAAAUUAGUUAUCAAUUUAGACCAUAUUACUAUAACAAUAUCAAACUCAUUUGAUAGAUCAUAAUUAAUUUUAUGUAUAUUUAGAUAAAGUUAAUUUGGACUAAAUUACGUUAGAGCGAUCAAGAUUUGGGGAUUAAUUCAGUAGCAAUUAGGCUUGUCAUUAUCCAUAUCAUGAUUCCCUUAUUAUUUAGUUAUAGUAGGAUUUGGAGUUAGCCAUAAUUAGGCAAGAGCUUAUGUGAUAAGUCCUAGUGAAAUCAAAUUCCAUGGAAGCUUUCUGCUUUUGGUCAGUUUGGUUAAAAGAUGAUAAUGGCUACUUUUGUGGAAAUUAAAUAAGAGUUCUAUUAGUUAUUUAAACUGGUUGUUUGCAUUAAAAUAAAUUAAGCCUUAUAUCCAAUGCAAUUAGGAGUCCAACUUAUCUUAAUGUGUGCAUUAUGAUAACUUAAUCAGGAAUAAAUCAAUUCAAAGAAAUGUAUUUAAAAUGUAUUUUUAAUGCAUCUUUUAAUAUAAUUAGCAAAAAGGUUAUAAUAUUUUAUUAUAUAAUN
rnacentral:lncRNA from 1 species